ACCACUUGUUGGAUAACUCCUUCCCCCUCCACGGAUUGGCCAGAGCAGCUAAAGGACGAAGAAGCUAUUUUUGGAGGUACUAACAUUCAUGAUGCAGUAAUAAUAAUUCUCAUUAUUCCUAGUGAGGCAACUUAAAGUACCAUAACCACUACACAGUGCUAGGAGCCUACGAAUCUCAGUACUGGAAGGGCACACAAGGACAACUGUCCG